rnacentral:rRNA from 1 species
UAGGGAAUCUUCGGCAAUGGACGAAAGUCUGACCGAGCAACGCCGCGUGAGUGAAGAAGGUUUUCGGAUCGUAAAACUCUGUUGUUAGAGAAGAACAAGGACGUUAGUAACUGAACGUCCCCUGACGGUAUCUAACCAGAAAGCCACGGCUAACUACGUGCCAGCAGCCGCGGUAAUACGUAGGUGGCAAGCGUUGUCCGGAUUUAUUGGGCGUAAAGCGAGCGCAGGCGGAUUCUUAAGUCUGAUGUGAAAGCCCCCGGCUCAACCGGGGAGGGUCAUUGGAAACUGGGAGACUUGAGUGCAGAAGAGGAGAGUGGAAUUCCAUGUGUAGCGGUGAAAUGCGUAGAUAUAUGGAGGAACACCAGUGGCGAAGGCGGCUCUCUGGUCUGUAACUGACGCUGAGGCUCGAAAGCGUGGGGAGCAAACAGG